UACGUAGGGGGCUAGCGUUGUCCGGAAUCAUUGGGCGUAAGAGCGUGUAGGCGGCCCGGUAAGUCCGCUGUGAAAGUCGGGGGCUCAACCCUCGAAUGCCGGUGGAUACUGUCGGGCUAGAGUGCGGAAGAGGCGAGUGGAAUUCCUGGUGUAGCGGUGAAAUGCGCAGAUAUCAGGAGGAACACCAAUUGCGAAGGCAGCUCGCUGGGACGUCACUGACGCUGAGACGCGAAAGCGUGGGGAGCAAACAGG
rnacentral:rRNA from 1 species